rnacentral:rRNA from 1 species
CCUACGGGUGGCUGCAGUAGGGAAUAUUGGGCAAUGGGCGCAAGCCUGACCCAGCCAUGCCGCGUGCAGGAAGAAGGUCCUCUGGAUUGUAAACUGCUUUAGACAGGGAAGAAUAAGCUACUCGUGCAGUGGCGAUGACGGUACCUGUAGAAUAAGCACCGGCUAACUACGUGCCAGCAGCCGCGGUAAUACGUAGGGUGCGAGCGUUGUCCGGAUUUAUUGGGUUUAAAGGGUGCGUAGGCGGGCUCUUAAGUCUGGGUUUAAAGCUCGCCGCU